AUGUUGACUUGUCAGAGAGCCAAAACUGAACGAAUAUCUCCUGCAUGGUUGCUGCAGCCCUUACCAAUUCCAAAGAAGCCGUGGGCAGUGGUCUCAUUGGACUUUAUUGAAGGCAUUCCUCGAUCUGGCGGCUACGCUGUCAUUUUGGUGGUUGUUGACAAAUUUUCCAAGGGUAUCUUCGUUGUGCAGUUCAUUCUUGUCCGAGCAAUUGGACUAAGUGGCUCUUCCUUGCUGAACAACACCUCGUUUCAUUCCUUGCUUGGGCGCACGCCAUUUGAAGUGAUCUAUGGCCACUUGCCUUGUGAGUUUUGUGUGGUGCAAGUGGAAGAGUGCUUUGUACCUGAUUUGGCGUCCUGGCUGCGGGAGCGUGAAGUGAUGAUGCAACAUUUGCAACAACAGCUAAAGUGUGCCCAGGACCGUAUGAAAAAGCAAGUCGAUAAGCACCGCACGAAUCAUGAGUUUGCUGUGGGUGACUUAGUGUUCCUCCAGCUGCAGCCAUUUGUGCAAACAUCCAUGGCUCAACGACCUCAUCAGAAGCUGGCCUUCAGGUACUACGGACCCUAUACCCAAUCAUCGCUCGUGUUGGCGCAGUGGAUUAAAAACUGGAACUUCCGGAAGGCGCUAACACACUCUUGCAGGCGAAACACCAACCAUAGUCCAUCUUGGAACACAAACUUGUCAAGAUACAAGGUGCGCUUCAACCUAGGGUCUUGGUGCAAUGGAGCGAGCUUCCAUUUUCCCUGGCUACCUGCGAGGAACCACAAGACCUCCAGCUUCAUUUUCCGAUGGCGCCGGCUUGGGGUCAAGCCGGUCCUCAAGAGGGGGCGAAUGUCACGGCUGACAAGAGGGCCCGGACUCACCAACUGGAACGGGACCUAA
rnacentral:rRNA from 1 species